rnacentral:misc_RNA from 1 species
UCUCCGUAGGUGAACCUGCGGAGGGAUCACUACAGGCUUGCAAAAGCGCUGAAACCACUGUUUAUCUACCUGAAUCUGCUUCGGCGGGCGGCCCCAGGGGGGGGACGUUGACGCUAUGCGCCCGACGAAGAACCAUAAACUCUGUCGUCUUGUGAAUCUCUGAGCAAUUAUGUUAAACAAAAACAACUUUCAACAACGGAUCUCUUGGCUCUG